CUGAUUACAUGUCCGCUGGAACCGGUCUAGCAGACCACAUAUUCACGCUUCAGUGGUUCGCCUGCGAUUCAAAUCCGUUCUAUCGGUCCAGAACAUCAGACCUCCUAUUUAGGAGGUCUGAAACUGAGCUAACCGGUCUUGCUCAGUUGCUUCGCCGUGCUGCUCGAGAAAUCGUGAAUCACCGUGAUCGAAGGAGGUACGGAAGUUGUUUUCUUUUUCAUCUCUGAUUGUGGACAAAUUUCAACGGGAAAGCAACCUCUCCAUCAUCAUAUUCUGCAAAUAACUUCAAAGAAUUUAAAUCAAGGACGUGCAUUUAAUUUUGAUACUUUAAUUAACAUUUGUAUUGAAUUUAUGAAUUUAUUGAAAAUAAAAUAUAUGCAGUGUUUGCAAAUCAU